CAAUUUCUUCCAUAUUUGAACAACAAGAAAAACUCAACAGAAAAGCAUAAAUGAACAACAAAGAUUACAACCAAAAAGUCAUACGGGGAUGACGGCAAACGACGUUCAAAUCAAAAAGCAACCAAACUCAAAAUAAACAUAAACCUGUUCCUCACUCAACCCAUGGUCAAGAAUGAAUCAUUACCGGUCGCAAUCAAAACGAGAACCACAAGCAUGAUUCGAGAGGAAGACUUACCCGUUACAACAGGAUCAAACAGCGAUUUGAAAAAGGAAAAUACAUUACACCGUGUUGAGUUAGGAUGACGCUUGCAAUAAAAAAUGUUGGUUUAUGAACUAAACUGAUUAUGGUGUGGGAUUGUAGCAGUUUCGACAUGAUUUUGGUUGGUCAUGGCAUGACAGCAAUUGCACACAUAUAAUCCUGUAUGGUGUCAUUAACUCCUCCAAUCUCCUUAUAGGUAUUGUCUAUGUUGCUUAUAGAUUAUGGCUUGGUCAAUAUAAGGUGCAAAUAAUCCAGUGGUUACACUUAGUGCAGCUUUAUAAUAUGAAGCAACAACAACCACCAAUUACAUCAUGAUGUCCCCAAUGUAUUUCGUACAAGAGUGCAUAACGAAAUCAGCACCAAGGGCAAAGGCUUUCUGGUUCAAAGGCGUAACAAGUGUACCAUCAAUGCAGAGCAAAGCCCCAUGCUUGUGGCAAAGUUCUGAAACCAGCUUAAUGUCAACACAACUCAGGAAUGGAUUGGUAGGACACUCAAUGAAGAAUAGUGACACCUUGUUCUACUCCAAUGCAGAUUCCAAGGCUCCAACAUUAGCAGGAUCAAUCACAGAGGCCGUCAUCCCCAUCUUUGAAAGCACAAACUCUAUACAUAUCAUAGUUUUCCUGUAACAAUCAUUUAUAGUCACAAGAUGUCCACCGGCUGGAACCAGCGCCAUGAGCAAAACUAUGCUAGCACACAUUCUAGAUACCAAUAAGACAAUUGACUCAGGCCCUUAUAAUUCACUUAAUUUCUCCUCUAAAACAGUACUGGUUAGAUUCUUGAAAAAGUAGGCAGAAUUGUUCACCACAGGAGUGGUAACUGCAUCAGUCACAAUAGCCUUACCAAGUCUUUCAGCAGCAUGAAUCGUUUUGCUCAUUUUGCGUUUGAGUCGUGUUUGCGUUUUGACUUGGUUGAAACUUAGGGCGUUGGCUCGUUUGGAAGUGAGCUUGUAGCUUAGUACCAUGGAUUUGGGUUUUGGCUUGUAGCUGUUCUACAGCUAAGCCGCGUUUCAGCUGUAGCUGUUGUGUUUCCUGCAGCUACCGCACAUGCAUUCUACAUUUUCCAACUCUAUUUUUUCUUGUGGCUUGUGGUAACUUUGGCUUUUGUUUCA